UGGCUUGGAGGAAUCAGGGGAAUGCAAUUUUGCAGUUAUCUAUCGUAACAGCUGCUUUUCUUAGCUGCUAGAAGACCUAAUGCUUACUGGAUCCAUAUGUUUUAGAGGGACAUGGAUGAAUCUGGAGAACGUCAUCCUCAGCAAACUGACACAAGAACAGAAAAUGAAACACCGCAUAUUCUCACUCAUAGGUGG
rnacentral:lncRNA from 13 species